UACAAACAAGGGAAAUAUUACGAGGUGCAGCGAGGGGAAUGAGGCACCUCAGGGUCACGGAGAGCGGCAGGGAGCGCUCCUGUGUCAUGGGCAGGGACCUGGGGCGUGACAUUCCUUGAGUGCAGAGUGUCACAGUGGCGGAUGUGGAGCGAGGGGGCGUGAGGCGCAUCGGAGGCACGACCACCGGCUCGGUCGAGGGCCUGGAACUCGGAGGGGGUGAUGAAGUGAUAGUCCUCGCCCGGCACCUCCCCCUCCCGAGGGACCCGCGUCGUGCCUGUGGGAAUGGGAGCCGAGAUUCCAGUCGGGAUGCGAGGAGCUGGAUCGGUGCUGUGGCGGUGGUGUUGAAGAGGAAGGUGCAGUAAGGAUGGGGGGGAAAUGGUUUCGAACAGAUCUCCUCUCAUCCUGCUGAAUUCCAGCGAGCACAGUCCCAGGCGAUUCGACCUCUUCUCACAGUCUAAGCCGCUGAUCAACCUGGCACUGAGCUCGAGAAUCAGGAAGGUUGCGGAAAGAUGUCACGAACUUGCAAAGACUGCGGUGGAGACUUACACGAGGAUGUUGCCAGCCGAGGGACGGAGGUUGGUCGGGCCAUAACUUUAUUCCUUGGAACGCAGGAGGCUGAAGGGGUGGCCCAACAGAGGUGUAUAAAAACCAUGGGGGCACAGAUGGGAUGAAAGCGCAAGGCCAUUUUCCCCAUGGUGGGGAAAUGAAGAACCAGAGGCAAUAGGGUGAGAGUGGAGAGAGGCUUAAUAGGGACCCAAGGGACAACUUUUUCACGGAGGGCGGGCUAGGUGGAAGGAGCUGCCAGAGGAAGUGGUUGAGGCAGCGACAUGAACAAUAUAUAUUUUUUAAAAACUCUGCUAAAAAAUGCUUACAGGGAAACGCAGGUGGAAAUCUAGGUCGGCAUGAAGGAGUUGGGCCGAAGUGCCUGUUUCGGAGCAGUUCUGUCUUAUGACACCACGUCCCUGGUGCAGUUGCCCAUUUCCACACCACCAUCCAUACCCCCCCCCCCUCCAAUCCCUCUCCCGUUAUCCCCCCACCCUCCCUCCUCUCCCUGUGGCCUCUCCCGAUUCAGUCGCCAACCAACCCCCAUGGCAGAACCUCCCACCUCCUACCUACCCCACCUCCAGAGCGUCCGAGGGGAGGAUGGUGCUCGCUCAGAGAGGGAGCGGUGGACGAUGCAAACCCAGAGAGAUGCAGGCGAAAAUUUGCAAACAGGAUUGAUUCUCACAUAUUAUUGACUCGCAGAUAUUUGCAAUUACUGACUUGGGACGUGAAAGGGAGCGGCUGCAGUGCGGAGGGAAG